rnacentral:rRNA from 1 species
UACGUAGGGCGCAAGCGUUGUCCGGAAUUAUUGGGCGUAAAGAGCUCGUAGGUGGCUUGUUGCGUCUGCCGUGAAAGCCCGUGGCUUAACUACGGGUCUGCGGUGGAUACGGGCAGGCUAGAGGCUGGUAGGGGCAAGCGGAAUUCCUGGUGUAGCGGUGAAAUGCGCAGAUAUCAAGAGGAACACCUGAGGUGAAGACGGGUUGCUGGGCUGACACUGACGCUGAGGCGCGAAAGCCAGGGGAGCAAACGGG